CAGGCAUGAGCCACUGUGCCCAGUCUGAGAAAGGGAUUUAAUUUACUUUUUUUCUUCCAAAUGGAUAGCUCCUUGUCCCAACACUCUCUAUUAGUCUGUCAUUUCCCAAGUGAUUUUAAAUGUCUCCUUUAACAUAUACUAAGAUUACACACACACACACACACACACACACACACACAUACACACAAAUGGACACAUAUAUGUGUGUGUGUGUAUAUAUAUUUUUCUGGACUUUUAAAUUCUAUUGUAUUGAUCCAUUGGUCUGUUUUUCACAGUACUAUUUCAAUUAUUGUGACUUUACAACAUAGUUAACAUCUGGUAAAGUUCUUUCUCUAAUGAAUCUUAACUUUUUUUGGCCCAACUCAUAGAUGAACUUUAAAAUUAACUUGCCAAUUCUAUAAAAUAUGCUGUUGGAAUUUUGAUAAAAUUAUAUUACAUUUAUUAUUUAAUUUGGGGGCAUAAUAUCUGUAUAUUAUUGAGUCUUUUCAUCUAGAAAUAUCUUUUAUGGCCUUCAUUAAAAUUAUAUGGUUAUCCUCAAGAAUUUUCUUUUCUUUUUUUUUGAGACAGGGUCUCACUCUGUCACCCAGGCUGGAGUGGAGUGGCACAAUUUCUGCUCACUCAACUUCCUAGGCCCAGGUGAUCCUCCCACCGCAGCCUCCCAAGUAGCUGGGACUAUAGGCAUGUGCCACCACACCUGGCUGAUUUUUUGUAGAGACUGGGUUUCGCUACAUUGCCCAGGCUGUUCUUGAACUCCUGGACUCAGGUGAUCCGCCCAUGUCAGCCUCCCAAAGUGCUAGGGUUACAGGCAUGAGCUACCAUGCCUGGCAACAGCUUUCAUAUUUGUAAGUUUUUUUUCCUAGGUAACCCAAGGUCUAUUGAAAUUGCAUAUAGCUUUCUUUUCUAUUACAUAUUUAAAUAGAUUUUUUCUGAUUUUAGAAAAGCUGUAGAUUUUUAUAUGUUAAUCUUGUUUCCUUUCUGAAAGUUUUUAUUAGCCCAUAUAGAUUUAUGUGAUUCACUGGAUUUUCUAGGUAUAAAUCUACCUUGCCAAUAUUCAUACUUAUUUCUUUUUUUUCUGGUAUUUUUACGUUGCCUGGUAACUCUAGGAAAAUGUCUACUAUUGAUGAUAAAAGUAAGCAUCAUUAUGUGUUGUUUCUGAGUUCUAUGGAGAUGUGGUCUAAUGUUUUGUUCUUCAGAAUAAUGUUUGGAGAUUGGCAAAAUGUUGAUUAUUGUUGAAGAUGAGUGACAGGUCCAUAGCGGCCAUUAAUCUAUUUUCUCUAUGCUUGUGUAUGUUUGAAAAUUUCCAUAAUAAAAGAGUUAAAUUCUACAAAGAGUCAAAUUUAAAAAAAGAACAAGACUUGUUUUAGGUUUUUGUUAGAAACCCCUUUUCAGGCUGCGUGUGGUGGCUCACACCUGUAAUCCCAGCACUUUGGGAGGCUGAGGCGGGCAGAUCACCUGAAGUCAGGAGUUUGAGACCAGCCUGGCCAACAUGGUGAAACCCCAUCUCUACUAAAA
rnacentral:lncRNA from 1 species